UCGAAACCUGCAAAGCAGACCCGUGAACAUGUUCUAAUACAAUUGUGGACGUGAUGUUGGAUUCCAACGUCACGGCCGCCGAUCCCAAAUGGCCUCCGGUCGCUUGGGCGUAAUAAACUCUCGGCGCGGCAAGCGCCAAGGAAAACCAAAUCGAUCGGCCCUCCAUGCGGGUGCUGUACGCAGCGACCGAGUAAGUGGAGGAGCCAUCUACGAAAAAAUAGUCAUAACGACUCUCGGCAACGGAUAUCUCGGCUCUCGCAUCGAUGAAGAACGUAGCGAAAUGCGAUACUUGGUGUGAAUUGCAGAAUCCCGUGAACCAUCGAGUCUUUGAACGCAAGUUGCGCCCAAAGCCAUCAGGCUGAGGGCACGUCUGCCUGGGCGUCACGCAUCUCGUCACCCCCCAACAUCAUCUUUCCCCACAUAUUGUCGGGAACGAUGCACGAAACGUGGGGGUGGAAAUUGGCCUUCCGUUAUCAGCGUGCAGCGGCCGGCCCAAAUAGAAAACCGUGUCGAUGGAUGUCACACGAUACGUGGUGGUUGGAUUCGUCAACUCGCAAACUAUCGUGUGGGACUAUCGAGCCACGGGCACGACCCAACGGCAGCAGAUGCCCUCGAAUGUA
rnacentral:rRNA from 1 species